rnacentral:rRNA from 1 species
GGUAAUGCAUAGGAAUCUGCCCGGUAGUGGGGGAUAACCUGGGGAAACCCAGGCUAAUACCGCAUACGUCCUACGGGAGAAAGCAGGGGAUCUUCGGACCUUGCGCUAUCGGAUGAGCCUAUGUCGGAUUAGCUUGUUGGUGAGGUAAUGGCUCACCAAGGCGACGAUCCGUAGCUGGUCUGAGAGGAUGAUCAGCCACAUCGGGACUGAGACACGGCCCGAACUCCUACGGGAGGCAGCAGUGGGGAAUAUUGGACAAUGGGCGAAAGCCUGAUCCAGCCAUGCCGCGUGUGUGAAGAAGGCUUUCGGGUUGUAAAGCACUUUCAGUGAGGAAGAACGCCUCGGGGCCAAUACCCCCGAGGAAGGACAUCACUCACAGCGGG